GUCGGUAUCCCGUCUAGAGGCUAAUUGCCGAACGAAGCCGCACACCGCCUUCCGCGCCUUACGGGCCAAUCGCAAAUAGGCUUUGCGUCACACCGCGCAUGCCAAUUGCUGUCGUUCUAACCUCGUUUUCCCGCCCCUAUCAGCUCUGGCCUAUGGGUAACCGCCUCCACACCCUUAUUUGCCUGCCCAGUACUGAACUGGCCAAUCGGAGACCCUCGCUGACUAUCGUUAGGCUGGCAAAUCAUUGACUGUCGUCCUGCGUCCCGCAUUGAGAUGGCCAAUCUUGAACAACUCUACCGAGUUCUCUCUUGUAGUUGCCCUCCAGAUUUCCAGAUUCUCCCGAAAUUCCUGAAAAGGGGAUCGGACUGUGGCCAUGACUACCGGGGCGGAAGUCCAAUCCCGCAGAGACUCGAGAAAGUGGGGGCGGGGCUACAGUUCUGCGGCGCGCGCAGGCCGCUGGGAUCCUUGUGUAGACGUUGACCUUGGUCCUGACGACUGCUGGGUAUCUGACCUCAGUUCAAGAAUAAUAUAAUUAAAACGUUAGGCACUGUUCUGGGCACAUGACGUGCAUUAAGACAUUUCACAGCAACUUUGUGUUGCUGCAGGGACAGUUUUAUCACCUUGUUAUUUCCUGUGUUCCUGGAGGGGAAAAUGUUCCAGAUUUUACUGCAUUUUUGUGGAAAACCUCCAAAAUGGUUAAAAGAGGGGGAAAAGUCAAAUUAUGAUUCACGAAACAGAGUCAGGUCAACUUUUUCAGCAGAGAAGUGCAUUUCAUGGUGGCUGAAGCCCUGGCAACUCCAAGAGUUUCUAGGGCUUCCCUGGUGGUGCAGUGGAUAAGAACCUGCCUGCCAAUGCAGGGGACAUGGGUUCCAUCCCUGGUCCAGGAAGAUCCCACAUGCCACGGAGCAACUAAGCCCGUGCGCCACAACUACUGAGUCUGCGCUCUAGAGCCCGUGCUCCGCAGCAAGAGAAGCUACCGCAAUGAGAAGCCCGUGCACCGCAGCGAAGAGUAGCCCCUGCUCGCCACAACUAGAGAAAGCCUGCGUGCAGCCACGAAGACCCAACACAGCCAAAAAUAAAUAAAUUAAAAAAAAAAUGUUUCUAGGGCUUCCCUGGUGGCGCAGUGGUUGAGAGUCCGCCUGCCGAUGCAGGAGACACGGGUUCGUGCCCCGGUCUGGGAAGAUCCCACAUGCCGCGGCGCGGCUGGGCCCGUGA